GGUUCCGUGGUGUAGUGGUUAUCACGUUCGCUUUACACGCGAAAGGUCCCCGGUUCGAUCCCGGGCGGAAAAUGUGUCA